UACGGAGGGGGCUAGCGUUGUUCGGAAUUACUGGGCGUAAAGCGCGCGUAGGCGGACCUGCAAGUCAGGGGUGAAAUCCUGGAGCUCAACUCCAGAACUGCCUUUGAUACUGAUGGUCUCGAGUCCGGAAGAGGUGAGUGGAAUUCCGAGUGUAGAGGUGAAAUUCGUAGAUAUUCGGAGGAACACCAGUGGCGAAGGCGGCUCACUGGUCCGGUACUGACGCUGAGGUGCGAAAGCGUGGGGAGCAAACAGG
rnacentral:rRNA from 1 species